GCCUCGUGAAUUCAUCUCCGGGGGUAGAGCACUGUUUCGGCAAGGGGGUCAUCCCGACUUACCAACCCGAUGCAAACUGCGAAUACCGGAGAAUGUUAUCACGGGAGACACACGGCGGGUGCUAACGUCCGUCGUGAAGAGGGAAACAACCCAGACCGCCAGCUAAGGUCCCAAAGUCAUGGUUAAGUGGGAAACGAUGUGGGAAGGCCCAGACAGCCAGGAUGUUGGCUUAGAAGCAGCCAUCAUUUAAAGAAAGCGUAAUAGCUCACUGGUCGAGUCGGCCUGCGCGGAAGAUGUAACGGGGCUAAACCAUGCACCGAAGCUGCGGCAGCGACACUAUGUGUUGUUGGGUAGGGGAGCGUUCUGUAAGCCUGUGAAGGUGUACUGUGAGGUAUGCUGGAGGUAUCAGAAGUGCGAAUGCUGACAUAAGUAACGAUAAAGCGGGUGAAAAGCCCGCUCGCCGGAAGACCAAGGGUUCCUGUCCAACGUUAAUCGGGGCAGGGUGAGUCGACCCCUAAGGCGAGGCCGAAAGGCGUAGUCGAUGGGAAACAGGUUAAUAUUCCUGUACUUGGUGUUACUGCGAAGGGGGGACGGAGAAGGCUAUGUUGGCCGGGCGACGGUUGUCCCGGUUUAAGCGUGUAGGCUGGUUUUCCAGGCAAAUCCGGAAAAU
rnacentral:rRNA from 1 species